AUGAACGCUGGCGGCGUGCUUAACACAUGCAAGUCGAACGAUGAAAGCGGGAGCUUGCUCCUGCUGGAUUAGUGGCGAACGGGUGAGUAACACGUGAGUAACCUGCCCUUGACUCUGGGAUAAGCGUUGGAAACGACGUCUAAUACCGGAUACGACCUUCGGAGGCAUCUCCUGGGGGUGGAAAGAAUUUCGGUCAAGGAUGGACUCGCGGCCUAUCAGCUAGUUGGUGAGGUAAUGGCUCACCAAGGCGACGACGGGUAGCCGGCCUGAGAGGGUGACCGGCCACACUGGGACUGAGACACGGCCCAGACUCCUACGGGAGGCAGCAGUGGGGAAUAUUGCACAAUGGGCGCAAGCCUGAUGCAGCAACGCCGCGUGAGGGACGACGGCCUUCGGGUUGUAAACCUCUUUUAGUAGGGAAGAAGCGAAAGUGACGGUACCUGCAGAAAAAGCACCGGCUAACUACGU
rnacentral:rRNA from 1 species